AAAGGCAGUGAGCGUCUUUCCUUGGGCUGCGUGUGCCGAGCGUAGACAAUGAAAAUCUUCAUCCCCCUCCCCCAUUCCACUAGGCUACAAGAUUCUUGUUUUCAUUCCUUCUCACCGGUGGAAGAUGUGUAAAAUCAAAGAUAUAGAGGUGUGUAGUGAUUUUUUUAAAAGCCAACUAACCCACCGCACGGGCUGCGACGCGGAUUACCCGAGCGCACGCCGGCUGGGCGCAUUCUGGGGUCUCUGCGCAAGACCAGCUCUCAGCUCUCUCUCCUUUCCUCGGACUCUGGAGCGGGAGCGGGCCUUUCCCUCUGGCCGACCACGCCGUAGGGGACGCCGUGAAAAGAGCCGUCGCGCCCGCUGCCUCCUGCCCGCUGCGCAGAGGGCUCCGCCCGUAGAGGUCAACUUCCCUCACCCUUUCCUCUCUCCUGCUUGCCCUCCCUCCGCCCGGCACAGGCGCUUCCAGCCCCAGACUCUGGCCACUGGCUGAGGACUGCGAGUCGGCUGCGCUGCCCUGAGCCUAAUCCUUCCUCCGGGCCCAGACCCGAGGUCCGCGCUCCUGGGCAGUGGGGAAGCUUUAGUGAGCAGGCUUUUCUCUCCGCAGCAAACUCGUAGCCAGACCAGAUGGGCCGCCCAGCUCUCUCGGGACUAGGCAGGUGCGGUUGAGUUAAUUUUUCCGCAUUACAAAGAAAGAUGACCCAGCCUGCCCUUGGACUCUCUUUACCCAAAAUCUCCCAACCAAACCCGCGGUAACGUUAUCAGAGGACACAGAGACCAGGCAUAUCUGUGUGUUUAUCUUACAGGCACACACGUAUGGUUUUCUCUUUUAUAUGCUAGAUUUCAUCUCUGACAGCAGAAAAUGAUUGGCAACGGUUCUGACGGAGAACAUGCAAUAGCGUGGUCCUUAAAAACCUGCCAUUCCUUACAAGUGCCUUAGAAAGGAUUCAGGGCGAACCAACUGGGUUAAUUGCAUUCAGUAAAAUAACACGAUUACAAAAUUA
rnacentral:lncRNA from 1 species